rnacentral:rRNA from 1 species
GCUUACGGCCACACCACCCUGAACACGCCCGAUCUCGUCCGAUCUUGGAAGCUAAGCAGGGCCGGGCCUGGUUAGUGCUUGGAUGGGAGACCCCCUGGGAAUACCAGGUGCUGUAAGUU